rnacentral:rRNA from 1 species
GAUGAACGCUGGCGGCGUGCCUAAUACAUGCAAGUCGAGCGAAGCGGGGACGGGUGAGUACCACGUGGAUAACCUCCUAUAAGACUGGGAUAACUUCGGGAAACCGGAGCUAAACCCGAUCCUUAUCGCUGGUUCCGCGUGGCAUUAGCUAGGUUGUAAGGUAACGGCUUACCAAGGCAACGAUGCAUAGCCGACCUGAGAGGGUGAUCGGCCACACUGGAACUGAGACACGGUCCAGACUCCUACGGGAGGCAGCAGUAGGGAAUCUUCCGCAAUGGGCGAAAGCCUGACGGAGCAACGCCGCGUGAGUGAUGAAGGUCUGCGGAUCGUAAAACUCUGUUAUGAGGGAAGCGGUACCUAAUCAGAAAGCCACGGCUAACUACGUGCCAGCAGCCGCGGUAAUAC